rnacentral:rRNA from 1 species
UUGAGUUUGAUCCUGGCUCAGAGCGAACGCUGGCGGCAGGCCUAAUACAUGCAAGUCGAGCGGCCCUUCGGGGCAGCGGCGGACGGGUAAGUAACGCGUGGGAAUGUGCCCUUAGGUACGGAACAACCCAGGGAAACUUGGGCUAAUACCGUAUGUGCCCUUCGGGGGAAAGAUUUAUCGCCUUUGGAGCAGCCCGCGUUGGAUUAGCUAGUUGGUGAGGUAAAGGCUCACCAAGGCGACGAUCCAUAGCUGGUCUGAGAGGAUGAUCAGCCACACUGGGACUGAGACACGGCCCAGACUCCUACGGGAGGCAGCAGUAGGGAAUCUUGCGCAAUGGGCGAAAGCCUGACGCAGCCAUGCCGCGUGAAUGAUGAAGGUCUUAGGAUUGUAAAAUUCUUUCACCGGGGAAGAUAAUGACGGUACCCGGAGAAGAAGCCCCGGCUAACUUCGUGCCAGCAGCCGCGGUAAUACGAAGGGGGCUAGCGUUGCUCGGAAUUACUGGGCGUAAAGGGCGCGUAGGCGGAUAUCUAAGUCGGGGGUGAAAGCCCGGGGCUCAACCUCGGAAUUGCCUUCGAUACUGGAUAUCUUGAGUUCGGGAGAGGUGAGUGGAAUGCCGAGUGUAGAGGUGAAAUUCGUAGAUAUUCGGCGGAACACCAGUG